AUGGCUUUUCUUGAUCCAGCCUCAGUCCUCAGUCCCAUCCAUUUGGAAAAGCUCUUGGCCAGCUCCACAGCUCCAUCUGUCUUUCCCCUGACACCCAAUUGUGCCCAAGAAACCUCCUCCCAAGUAGCUCUGGGCUGCCUGGUGUCAGGCUACUUCCCUGAGCCUGUGACGGUGACAUGGAAUUCAGGGGCCAUCUCCAGUGGAAUCCAGACCUAUCCUUCUGUCCUCCAGUCCUCAGGACUCUACACCUUAAGCAGUCAGUUGACAGUUUCUGCAGAUGCUUUGUCCAAGCCAUACAUCUGCAAUGUGGCCCACCCAGCCACAUCCACCAAGAUUGACAAGAAAAUUGAAACCAAAAUUCAGCCCUCAGAGUGUCUAUGCUGCAAAUGUCCAGAUUGUGAUUUUGGUGGACCUUCUGUAUUUCUCUUCCCACCAAGCCCUAAGGAUACCCUCACAUCCUCAAGAACCCCUAAAAUCACCUGUGUGGUGGUUGAUGUGAGUGAUGCAUCAGGUGUUGAAAUUACCUGGUUCAAAGGUGAUAAAGAAGUUGAAAAUCCUAAACCAACACAGAAGAAACUAAACAAUGGCACCUCGCAAGUGGUCAGCACUCUUCCUGUAGCCCACCCUGACUGGCUGAAUGGCGUUCAUUACAGCUGUAAAGUUGAUAAUAAAGAAUUACCAUUUCCUGUGAAAAAGGUCAUCUUCCACACUCAGGGUGACAAAAAGAAGCCUGAUAUGUAUGCCUUUGGCCCACAUCUUGAUGAGUUGAAGCAUAAAGAUACUGUUACUCUUACGUGCCUCAUAAAAAAUUUCUUCCCUCAAGAAAUUGUUGUUGAAUGGCAAAGCAACAACAAUCCAGAGUCUGAAGAUAACUAUUCCACCACCUCACCAAUAAGGGAAGGGAACACCUUCUUUGUCUACAGCAAGCUCACUGUGAAGAAAACAAAAUGGCAAGAGAAUAACUCCUACACCUGCAUGGUCCUGCACGAGGCCUUACCGAACUAUGUUUCCCAGAGGACAAUCUCUGCAUCCCCGGGUAAAUGAGAGAGCAAAGAGAAACACACGCGCACACACACACACACACACACACACACACACACACACACACUUCCCAUCCCCUCCUCCAAGGAUAGACAGUUUGGAGCACCUCCCUGUCCACUUCUUUCUUCCCACCAUGGGGCCUUCCCUCCUUCACAUUUUCCAUGGUCUGGUGAUGGAAGCUCCACAUGUAAAUUGUAAAUUUAUCCUCAAGCAAAGCAAUAAAACACCCAGCACUCUAUCUGGAA